rnacentral:rRNA from 1 species
AUUGAACGCUGGCGGCAGGCCUAACACAUGCAAGUCGAACGGUAACAGGAAUCAGCUUGCUGAUUCGCUGACGAGUGGCGGACGGGUGAGUAAUGUCUGGGAAACUGCCUGAUGGAGGGGGAUAACUACUGGAAACGGUAGCUAAUACCGCAUAACGUCGCAAGACCAAAGAGGGGGACCUUCGGGCCUCUUGCCAUCGGAUGUGCCCAGAUGGGAUUAGCGAGUAGGUGGGGUAAUGGAUAACCUAGGCGACGAUCCCUAGCUGGUCUGAGGGGAGGACCGGCCACACUGGAACUGAGACACGGUCCAGAAUCCUGCGGGCGGCAGCAGUGGGGAAUAUUGCACAAUGGGCGCAAGCCUGAUGCAGCCAUGCCGCGUGUAUGAAGAAGGCCUUCGGGUUGUAAAGUACUUUCAGCGAGGAGGAAGGUGUUGAGGUUAAUAACCUUAGCAAUUGACGUUACUCGCAGAAGAAGCACCGGCUAACUCCGUGCCAGCCGCCGCUGUAA